rnacentral:lncRNA from 1 species
ACACACCAAAAUAGUGCUCCAAAAUGUAGUCGCAAAUGCUGCAAACUUAAGUAACGGGAGAAACACUAAUUAAGAAGAUGUCCUUGAAUAAGACUAAAAUGUAAAUUGUCCCGGUGUACGUACGUCUUUGUGAUUUAACUAACUAAUUAUUACCAAAUGGCUUCUUCAGGUUAUAAUUAUUAUUUAAAAUUGUUCUUUUUAAUUAAGGUAUAAUUAG